AUGAAUGCUUGCUUUUGUGUAUACUAAAAUUAGAAUAAUAUAGAGAAGAUUAGCAUGGCCCCAGCACAAGGAUGACACCAAAUUUGUGAAGCAUUUCAUUAAAAA
ensembl:snRNA U6 U6 spliceosomal RNA